rnacentral:rRNA from 1 species
CCUACGGGAGGCAGCAGUGGGGAAUUUUGGACAAUGGGGGCAACCCUGAUCCAGCCAUUCCGCGUGAGUGAAGAAGGCCUUCGGGUUGUAAAGCUCUUUCGCAAGGGAAGAAAACUUAUGAUCGAAUAAAUCAUGAGGUUGACGGUACCUUGAUAAGAAGCACCGGCUAACUACGUGCCAGCAGCCGCGGUAAUACGUAGGGUGCGAGCGUUAAUCGGAAUUACUGGGCGUAAAGCGUGCGCAGGCGGUUUUGUAAGUCGGAUGUGAAAUCCCUGGGCUCAACCUGGGAACUGCGUUCGAAACUGCAAGGCUAGAGUGUGUCAGAGGGGGGUAGAAUUCCACGUGUAGCAGUGAAAUGCGUAGAGAUGUGGAGGAAUACCAAUGGCGAAGGCAGCCCCCUGGGAUAACACUGACGCUCAUGCACGAAAGCGUGGGGAGCAAACAGGAUUAGAUACCCUGGUAGUCCACGCCCUAAACGAUGUCAACUAGUUGUUGGUAGAGUAAAAUCUAUGAGUAACGUAGCUAACGCGUGAAGUUGACCGCCUGGGGAGGACGGUCGUCGAGAGUUAAACUUACUAAUUAGUUAAGUUAGACGGCGUUGAGACGUUGCGACGGACGACGACGAGGGAGGAGG